rnacentral:rRNA from 1 species
CCUACGGGUGGCAGCAGUGGGGAAUAUGGGACAAUGGGGGCAACCCUGAUCCAGCCAUGCCGCGUGUGUGAAGAAGGCCCUCGGGUUGUAAAGCACUUUCAGUGAGGAAGAACGCCUGGUGGUUAAUACCCAUCAGGAAAGACAUCACUCACAGAAGAAGCACCGGCUAACUCCGUGCCAGCAGCCGCGGUAAUACGGAGGGUGCGGGCGUUAAUCGGAAUUACUGGGCGUAAAGCGCGCGUAGGUGGCUUGAUAAGCCGGUUGUGAAAGCCCCGGGCUCAACCUGGGAACGGCAUCCGGAACUGUCCAGCUAGAGUGCAGGAGAGGAAGGUAGAAUUCCCGGUGUAGCGGUGAAAUGCGUAGAGAUCGGGAGGAAUACCAGUGGCGAAGGCGGCCUUCUGGACUGACACUGACACUGAGGUGCGAAAGCGUGGGUAGCAAACAGGAUUAGAUACCCCAGUAGUC